ACUAAGCGUACACGGUGGAUGCCCUGGCAGUCAGAGGCGAUGAAGGACGUGCUAAUCUGCGAUAAGCGUCGGUAAGGUGAUAUGAACCGUUAUAACCGGCGAUUUCCGAAUGGGGAAACCCAGUGUGAUUCGUCACACUAUCAUUAACUGAAUCCAUAGGUUAAUGAGGCGAACCGGGGGAACUGAAACAUCUAAGUACCCCGAGGAAAAGAAAUCAACCGAGAUUCCCCCAGUAGCGGCGAGCGAACGGGGAGCAGCCCAGAGCCUGAAUCAGUGUGUGUGUUAGUGGAAGCGUCUGGAAAGGCGCGCGAUACAGGGUGACAGCCCCGUACACAAAAAUGCACAUGCUGUGAGCUCGAUGAGUAGGGCGGGACACGUGGUAUCCUGUCUGAAUAUGGGGGGACCAUCCUCCAAGGCUAAAUACUCCUGACUGACCGAUAGUGAACCAGUACCGUGAGGGAAAGGCGAAAAGAACCCCGGCGAGGGGAGUGAAAAAGAACCUGAAACCGUGUACGUACAAGCAGUGGGAGCCUCUUAAUGGGGUGACUGCGUACCUUUUGUAUAAUGGGUCAGCGACUUAUAUUCUGUAGCAAGGUUAACCGAAUAGGGGAGCCGAAGGGAAACCGAGUCUUAACUGGGCGUUAAGUUGCAGGGUAUAGACCCGAAACCCGGUGAUCUAGCCAUGGGCAGGUUGAAGGUUGGGUAACACUAACUGGAGGACCGAACCGACUAAUGUUGAAAAAUUAGCGGAUGACUUGUGGCUGGGGGUGAAAGGCCAAUCAAACCGGGAGAUAGCUGGUUCUCCCCGAAAGCUAUUUAGGUAGCGCCUCGUGAAUUCAUCUCCGGGGGUAGAGCACUGUUUCGGCAAGGGGGUCAUCCCGACUUACCAACCCGAUGCAAACUGCGAAUACCGGAGAAUGUUAUCACGGGAGACACACGGCGGGUGCUAACGUCCGUCGUGAAGAGGGAAACAACCCAGACCGCCAGCUAAGGUCCCAAAGUCAUGGUUAAGUGGGAAACGAUGUGGGAAGGCCCAGACAGCCAGGAUGUUGGCUUAGAAGCAGCCAUCAUUUAAAGAAAGCGUAAUAGCUCACUGGUCGAGUCGGCCUGCGCGGAAGAUGUAACGGGGCUAAACCAUGCACCGAAGCUGCGGCAGCGACACUAUGUGUUGUUGGGUAGGGGAGCGUUCUGUAAGCCUGUGAAGGUGUACUGUGAGGUAUGCUGGAGGUAUCAGAAGUGCGAAUGCUGACAUAAGUAACGAUAAAGCGGGUGAAAAGCCCGCUCGCCGGAAGACCAAGGGUUCCUGUCCAACGUUAAUCGGGGCAGGGUGAGUCGACCCCUAAGGCGAGGCCGAAAGGCGUAGUCGAUGGGAAACAGGUUAAUAUUCCUGUACUUGGUGUUACUGCGAAGGGGGGACGGAGAAGGCUAUGUUGGCCGGGCGACGGUUGUCCCGGUUUAAGCGUGUAGGCUGGUUUUCCAGGCAAAUCCGGAAAAUCAAGGCUGAGGCGUGAUGACGAGGCACUACGGUGCUGAAGCAACAAAUGCCCUGCUUCCAGGAAAAGCCUCUAAGCAUCAGGUAACAUCAAAUCGUACCCCAAACCGACACAGGUGGUCAGGUAGAGAAUACCAAGGCGCUUGAGAGAACUCGGGUGAAGGAACUAGGCAAAAUGGUGCCGUAACUUCGGGAGAAGGCACGCUGAUAUGUAGGUGAAGUCCCUCGCGGAUGGAGCUGAAAUCAGUCGAAGAUACCAGCUGGCUGCAACUGUUUAUUAAAAACACAGCACUGUGCAAACACGAAAGUGGACGUAUACGGUGUGACGCCUGCCCGGUGCCGGAAGGUUAAUUGAUGGGGUUAGCGGUAACGCGAAGCUCUUGAUCGAAGCCCCGGUAAACGGCGGCCGUAACUAUAACGGUCCUAAGGUAGCGAAAUUCCUUGUCGGGUAAGUUCCGACCUGCACGAAUGGCGUAAUGAUGGCCAGGCUGUCUCCACCCGAGACUCAGUGAAAUUGAACUCGCUGUGAAGAUGCAGUGUACCCGCGGCAAGACGGAAAGACCCCGUGAACCUUUACUAUAGCUUGACACUGAACAUUGAGCCUUGAUGUGUAGGAUAGGUGGGAGGCUUUGAAGUGUGGACGCCAGUCUGCAUGGAGCCGGCCUUGAAAUACCACCCUUUAAUGUUUGAUGUUCUAACGUUGGCCCCUGAUCGGGGUUGCGGACAGUGUCUGGUGGGUAGUUUGACUGGGGCGGUCUCCUCCUAAAGAGUAACGGAGGAGCACGAAGGUUGGCUAAUCCUGGUCGGACAUCAGGAGGUUAGUGCAAUGGCAUAAGCCAGCUUGACUGCGAGCGUGACGGCGCGAGCAGGUGCGAAAGCAGGUCAUAGUGAUCCGGUGGUUCUGAAUGGAAGGGCCAUCGCUCAACGGAUAAAAGGUACUCCGGGGAUAACAGGCUGAUACCGCCCAAGAGUUCAUAUCGACGGCGGUGUUUGGCACCUCGAUGUCGGCUCAUCACAUCCUGGGGCUGAAGUAGGUCCCAAGGGUAUGGCUGUUCGCCAUUUAAAGUGGUACGCGAGCUGGGUUUAGAACGUCGUGAGACAGUUCGGUCCCUAUCUGCCGUGGGCGCUGGAGAACUGAGGGGGGCUGCUCCUAGUACGAGAGGACCGGAGUGGACGCAUCACUGGUGUUCGGGUUGUCAUGCCAAUGGCACUGCCCGGUAGCUAAAUGCGGAAGAGAUAAGUGCUGAAAGCAUCUAAGCACGAAACUUGCCCCGAGAUGAGUUCUCCCUGACUCCUUGAGAGUCCUGAAGGAACGUUGAAGACGACGACGUUGAUAGGCCGGGUGUGUAAGCGCAGCGAUGCGUUGAGCUAACCGGUACUAAUGAACCGUGAGGCUUAACC
rnacentral:rRNA from 1 species